GGGGUGCAUAGCUCCUCUGAGGUGCACUUAGCUUGCAGUGUCUGGCACGGUGGGAAGAGACACCUUUGAGGUCCUCUCCGACAAACAGCCUUGCCCCAAGCACAAAUGCUGCUCCUUCUUGUCUCUUCAGUGCCUUGUUUCAUUGCCACUGUGAAUGCAACACUCCACCCGGCAAGUAAAGACAUGAUCCUUGGCCUGGAGAUGAAGAAUCUGUCACAAAGGAAAUUGAGGUGUUGAGGUUUCUUGCUUCUGCGCUGAGAAAAACCCCAACUGCCGACAAACCUAAAAAACAAUCGCCCAAGGACGCUGGAGGGGGCUGGACAGCAGCAGGCUGAUUGCAGAAAUAAGAUCACAAGAUGUCCGGGGCACAGACACGGAGGACAGAGGAUGAGAAAGAGAAGGCUUGUGUAGAAGAACAGGGAUGCUUGAAGCUCAGGAGGAAAGAGGCCAGCGUGGUGUUGUUCACCUGCUGGGGCAGAUAUUCAGUCGAAUCUCCACCUGGAUUGUUACCAUCUCUAUACAUGCGUCCCCCUCCCCAUCUGAGGCAGAAGUCUGGGGCACCCGAGACGGCCAGAGAAGUAGGCGUGACCCAGGACACUUCCGAAGCGCAGUUCUCACAUCCCUGAGAGCGGACUUCUCGCGAGAACUCAAGCAGGUUUUCCAUAGGGCAGCUGGACCUGACUCAGCUGAGGCGGCAGAUGGAAAAGGGCCGUGGACCUUGAGGGCUCUUUGGUGCUGUCCCUCUCACAGUAAUCCCCCUCACGCUGUAGAGGACACCUUCUUUCCUACUUUUUCUUGGCCUAAAUUCGCUCUGCAGAGCCUGUUUCUCUUCCUCCCUUUAAUAAAUAUAAAACCGUG
rnacentral:lncRNA from 1 species